rnacentral:sRNA from 2 species
AUGUACUUCCGCGUCCACUGCGGUUGUGAGCGCGCCGUCCGCGCCCACCUGACAACUGCUUGCGACGUGUUGUGAGCC